rnacentral:rRNA from 1 species
GUCCGGUUGUUGCGCCAGCAGCAUUGCCGGGUAGCUAUGUUCGGAAGGGAUAACCGCUGAAAGCAUAUAAGCGGGAAGCCCCUCCUAAGAUGAGAUCUCCCUGAGAGCCGUUGAAGACGACAACGUUGAUAGGCUAGAUGUGUAAGCCCUGUAAAGGGUUCAGCUUACUAGUACUAAUUGCUCGAUCGGCUUGAAUAAAC